rnacentral:rRNA from 1 species
GGUAACGCACGUACAGCGGGCCGGGUAAGAAGGAGGAUCAGACGGUGUUGCGGAAUCAAUGGGUUUUAAGGUGCCGUAGGUGGCGUUAUAAGUCAUGGUGGAAAGUUUUUGGCUUAACCAAAAAAGUGCCAUUGAUACUGUAGGGCUUGAAUAUGUGUGAAGUAACUAGAAUAUGUAGUGUAGCGGUGAAAUGCUUAGAUAUUACAUGGAAUACCAAUUGCGAAGGCAGGUUACUAACAAAUGAUUGACGCUGAUGGACGAAAGCGUGGGUAGCGAACAGGAUUAGAUACCCUAGUAGUC